CCACCACUAAGCCAGUGGUGAACUCCACAUACGCAUCCUUUGCUGAGGAUACGGUUAACGGAGCGAAAGCGACGUUCAACCGCAAAAGAAGCAGAGGGGGCUUAGUGGUGGGGUGACUGCGUACCUUUUGUAUAAUGGGUCAGCGACUUAUAUUCUGUAGCAAGGUUAACCGAAUAGGGGAGCCGCAGGGAAACCGAGUCUUAACUGGGCGUUAAGUUGCAGGGUAUAGACCCGAAACCCGGUGAUCUAGCCAUGGGCAGGUUGAAGGUUGGGUAACACUAACUGGAGGACCGAACCGACUAAUGUUGAAAAAUUAGCGGAUGACCUGUGGCUGGGGGUGAAAGGCCAAUCAAACCGGGAGAUAGCUGGUUCUCCCCGAAAGCU
rnacentral:rRNA from 1 species